UACGUAGGGUGCGAGCGUUGUCCGGAAUUAUUGGGCGUAAAGAGCUCGUAGGCGGUUUGUCACGUCGGCCGUGAAAACUUGGGGCUUAACUCCAAGCUUGCGGUCGAUACGGGCAGACUUGAGUUCGGCAGGGGAGACUGGAAUUCCUGGUGUAGCGGUGAAAUGCGCAGAUAUCAGGAGGAACACCGGUGGCGAAGGCGGGUCUCUGGGCCGACACUGACGCUGAGGAGCGAAAGCGUGGGGAGCGAACAGG
rnacentral:rRNA from 1 species